GGUUGGAGUUUAUUUGCAAUUAGUAGGUGUCGAUGGUUUCAUUUUGAGCUAUUUUUGUUUAUUGAUCAAGAAUUGAUUUUGAUUGCUUCCACAGGUGAAAUUCAGGCAAGUUUUGUCUUCACAAGUCAUAAAAUUUAGGGCUUUGACUUUUGUGUUCCCUUUUUCGUUUUGGUAUGCUGCUCGAGCACUUUCUUGCUAACCUGCUAAAAUAUGGGAAAAUCAUGUUCUUUGCAAGUCUAAUAAUUUCAGUUUCAGAUGCAUACAGAUAUGCUCAGGAAACCUUUUCUGGAUAACUACUUCAGUUAGCACAUGUGAGCACAUCCACUAGGAAGCAUUAUGAAAAAUAUUCAGGUAACAAAGAGGUUUGCAUUUUGAUUUCAUUCUCGGGGAGCUUAGGAGGAUGUAUCUGCUAUAUGAGAUGUCUGGUGUGAUGGUAAUUUCGUUUGAGUUGCUGUGCUAUAAGGAGUCAAGACUGACUUCUAAGCCUUUUGAAGCAUUGUAAGAUAUACUCCUGAAUGAUUAUACUCUUAGAAAUUGUGGAGGCCGAUGAUUGGAGUGCUUUCAGUUGAGUUUCUGUUUAAUCUGUAUUUAGAGCUAUCCCCUGGUUUCAUUAAUGCUUUAGAGAUGGAUCACUAAUUUCUGUUCCCCCCACCCCCCACCCCCCACAUGAAUUUACUAGAAAUUAAAUUGGAUGAACUUGUUGAACUCAAAUUGUUAGGUUGCUGAACAUUUUACUUGAUAAUUAUUAACAUGCCGAA